GUAGGUCCCGAGCGUUGUCCGGAUUUAUUGGGCGUAAAGCGAGCGCAGGCGGUUUGAUAAGUCUGAAGUUAAAGGCUGUGGCUCAACCAUAGUUCGCUUUGGAAACUGUCAAACUUGAGUGCAGAAGGGGAGAGUGGAAUUCCAUGUGUAGCGGUGAAAUGCGUAGAUAUAUGGAGGAACACCGGUGGCGAAAGCGGCUCUCUGGUCUGUAACUGACGCUGAGGCUCGAAAGCGUGGGGAGCGAACAGGAUUAGAUACCCUGGUAGUCCACGCCGUAAACGAUGAGUGCUAGGUGUUGGAUCCUUUCCGGGAUUCAGUGCCGCAGCUAACGCAUUAAGCACUCCGCCUGGGGAGU
rnacentral:rRNA from 1 species